GCCUACGGGGGGCAGCAGUAGGGAAUCUUCCACAAUGGGCGAAAGCCUGAUGGAGCAACGCCGCGUGGGUGAAGAAGGUCUUCGGAUCGUAAAACCCUGUUGUUAGAGAAGAAAGUGCGUGAGAGUAACUAUUCACGUUUCGACGGUAUCUAACCAGAAAGCCACGGCUAACUACGUGCCAGCAGCCGCGGUAAUACGUAGGUGGCAAGCGUUAUCCGGAUUUAUUGGGCGUAAAGGGAACGCAGGCGGUCUUUUAAGUCUGAUGUGAAAGCCUUCGGCUUAACCGGAGUAGUGCAUUGGAAACG
rnacentral:rRNA from 1 species